rnacentral:rRNA from 1 species
CUGCCGGUGAUAAACCGGAGGAAGGUGGGGACGACGUCAAGUCAUCAUGGCCCUUACGAGUAGGGCUACACACGUGCUACAAUGGCGCAUACAGAGGGCGGCCAACUUGCGAAAGUGAGCGAAUCCCAAAAAGUGCGUCGUAGUCCGGAUUGGAGUCUGCAACUCGACUCCAUGAAGUCGGAAUCGCUAGUAAUCGUGGAUCAGAAUGCCACGGUGAAUACGUUCCCGGGCCUUGUACACACCGCCCGUCACACCAUGGGAGUGGGCUGCAAAAGAAGUAGGUAGUUUAACCUUCGGGGGGACGCUUACCACUUUGUGGUUCAUGACUGGGGUGAAGUCGUAACAAGGUAGCGCUAGGGGAACCUGGCGCUGGAUCACCUCCUUAAACGAUGAU